ensembl:lncRNA
UGGCCAUUUAACCCAUCCAGACUUCCUACAGGCACAGAGCAGCCUAGAAGCAGAACAUGCUGUGCUGACCUCUCCAGGUGGCCAGAGGGCAGUGGGUUUGCAUCACCACAUUUGCCUAACAAUUGACAUUCUACUUGGCACUGUUCGCUUGCUGACUGAGAACCAACAAAGCCAGAUAUCCUAGCACUGCAAGCAGCACACCAGCCUCCUGAAGGAAGCCAGGGCAGUAAGGCUACAAAUAGCUGCCCAUGAAAACACUGGGGUGAAACUGCCAGGGAGAAGAAAACAACUACCCAGAAGCACCCCAAGGACCACUGGGGACGGAAACAGGGAGAGCAAGCUGAGUGGCCAAGACAUUCAUAUGAAGACUGUGACCUAUGGCCCAGCUAAUAAGAGGACCUCUACCCGCCUCAUUGUGAUGUCCAUGACCCUUCUAUUCUAAGAGCUGGCAACUGAUAAAGGCAGAAUUUGAACCAAGGGCCAAGAACACCUUUCUCACUAGACCAGUGCUUCUUAAACUUGAAUGCACAUAGGAAUCACUGGAGAGUCUUAUUGAGAUGCAGAUUAUCAUCCCAUAUGACAUGUCCAAAGGUUCUGUUUUUUGGGAAUGGAAUGGACACUCAGGUAACACCAUAAGAAUGACCUUUAGCCACCUGCCUUACCCACC